rnacentral:rRNA from 1 species
GCGGUGCCUAUACAUGCAAGUCGUACGAACUCUGGGUAUUGAUUGGUGCUUGCAUCAUGAUUUACAUUUGAGUGAGUGGCGAACUGGUGAGUAACACGUGGGAAACCUGCCCAGAAGCGGGGGAUAACACCUGGAAACAGAUGCUAAUACCGCAUAACAACUUGGACCGCAUGGUCCGAGCUUGAAAGAUGGCUUCGGCUAUCACUUUUGGAUGGUCCCGCGGCGUAUUAGCUAGAUGGUGGGGUAACGGCUCACCAUGGCAAUGAUACGUAGCCGACCUGAGAGGGUAAUCGGCCACAUUGGGACUGAGACACGGCCCAAACUCCUACGGGAGGCAGCAGUAGGGAAUCUUCCACAAUGGACGAAAGUCUGAUGGAGCAACGCCGCGUGAGUGAAGAAGGGUUUCGGCUCGUAAAACUCUGUUGUUAAAGAAGAACAUAUCUGAGAGUAACUGUUCAGGUAUUGACGGUAUUUAACCAGAAAGCCACGGCUAACUACGUGCCAGCAGCCGCGGUAAUACGUAGGUGGCAAGCGUUGUCCGGAUUUAUUGGGCGUAAAGCGAGCGCAGGCGGUUUUUUAAGUCUGAUGUGAAAGCCUUCGGCUCAACCGAAGAAGUGCAUCGGAAACUGGGAAACUUGAGUGCAGAAGAGGACAGUGGAACUCCAUGUGUAGCGGUGAAAUGCGUAGAUAUAUGGAAGAACACCAGUGGCGAAGGCGGCUGUCUGGUCUGUAACUGACGCUGAGGCUCGAAAGUAUGGGUAGCAAACAGGAUUAGAUACCCUGGUAGUCCAUACCGUAAACGAUGAAUGCUAAGUGUUGGAGGGUUUCCGCCCUUCAGUGCUGCAGCUAACGCAUUAAGCAUUCCGCCUGGGGAGUACGGCCGCAAGGCUGAAACUCAAAGGAAUUGACGGGGGCCCGCACAAGCGGUGGAGCAUGUGGUUUAAUUCGAAGCUACGCGAAGAACCUUACCAGGUCUUGACAUACUAUGCAAAUCUAAGAGAUUAGACGUUCCCUUCGGGGACAUGGAUACAGGUGGUGCAUGGUUGUCGUCAGCUCGUGUCGUGAGAUGUUGGGUUAAGUCCCGCAACGAGCGCAACCCUUAUUAUCAGUUGCCAGCAUUAAGUUGGGCACUCUGGUGAGACUGCCGGUGACAAACCGGAGGAAGGUGGGGAUGACGUCAAAUCAUCAUGCCCCUUAUGACCUGGGCUACACACGUGCUACAAUGGAUGGUACAACGAGUUGCGAACUCGCGAGAGUAAGCUAAUCUCUUAAAGCCAUUCUCAGUUCGGAUUGUAGGCUGCAACUCGCCUACAUGAAGUCGGAAUCGCUAGUAAUCGCGGAUCAGCAGCCG